rnacentral:rRNA from 1 species
AUGCAAGUCGAACGGAAAGGCCCUUCGGGGUACUCGAGUGGCGAACGGGUGAGUAACACGUGGGUGAUCUGCCCUGCACUUUGGGAUAAGCCUGGGAAACUGGGUCUAAUACCGGAUAUACCUCAUGGACUGCAUGGUUUGUGGGGGAAAGCUUUUGCGGUGUGGGAUGGGCCCGCGGCCUAUCAGCUUGUUGGUGAGGUUAUGGCUUACCAAGGCGACGACGGGUAGCCGGCCUGAGAGGGUGACCGGCCACACUGGGACUGAGAUACGGCCCAGACUCCUACGGGAGGCAGCAGUGGGGAAUAUUGCACAAUGGGCGCAAGCCUGAUGCAGCGACGCCGCGUGAGGGAUGACGGCCUUCGGGUUGUAAACCUCUUUCAGUAGGGACGAAGCGAAAGUGACGGUACCUGCAGAAG